CCACAAAAGCUGCACCAUGGGCUCGUAAGUGGAAUCUAAAAGGCACAGUAUGAAAAUAAGGUCUCAAAGUCAUGCAACAGCACCACUGCAACUUGAAAGUAAUCUAUGACUUGAAAAUGGAGCUACAUGCCUCACAGAAAUUCAGCACUGCCAACAUUUGGAGGCCGACCCUUCCGACAUCUCAUCCUGGAUUCCUCUCUUGCUCGCUGUCUAUCUGGAUUUGGUGGUCUUCCUCUACGACACUCCAUUGCCCUGAUACGGGGAAUGACAUCCUCUUCUUUCAAAA